rnacentral:rRNA from 1 species
GAUGAACGCUAGCGGGAGGCCUAACACAUGCAAGCCGAGCGGUAUUGUUUCUUCGGAAAUGAGAGAGCGGCGUACGGGUGCGGAACACGUGUGCAACCUGCCUUUAUCUGGGGGAUAGCCUUUCGAAAGGAAGAUUAAUACUCCAUAAUAUAUUGAACGGCAUCGUUUAAUAUUGAAAGCUCCGGCGGAUAGAGAUGGGCACGCGCAAGAUUAGCUAGUUGGUGAGGUAACGGCUCACCAAGGCGAUGAUCUUUAGGGGGCCUGAGAGGGUGAUCCCCCACACUGGUACUGAGACACGGACCAGACUCCUACGGGAGGCAGCAGUGAGGAAUAUUGGUCAAUGGUUGCAAGCCUGAACCAGCCAUCCCGCGUGAAGGACGACUGCCCUAUGGGUUGUAAACUUCUUUUGUAUAGGGAUAAACCUACCCUCGUGAGGGUAGCUGAAGGUACUAUACGAAUAAGCACCGGCUAACUCCGUGCCAGCCGCCGCCGUAA